rnacentral:lncRNA from 1 species
GGGGGGCCGCGUUGGGGCCCUUUGUGGGGGGGACGUGGCUGAGGCCUAAAGGCCGCAAAGAGGCCCAGUGCUGCGAGGCGGCCACAGGCUGGCGGAAGUGCUGGAGCGGAAGGCGGCGGUGGUGGCGGAAGUGGAGGCGGUGGCGUCGGGGCGGCCAUGUGGGGAGGGGGGCGGCGCCGGGCUCAGCCUGGGGGUCCGCGGCCUCCGGGUGGCCGCGGCGGCGCUCAGAGCCCCUCCCCCACAGCUGCAGGGGAGGGGG